rnacentral:rRNA from 1 species
UGGGGAAUUUUGCGCAAUGGGCGAAAGCCUGACGCAGCAACGCCGCGUGCGGGAUGAAGGCCUUCGGGUUGUAAACCGCUUUCAGCAGGGAUGAAAUUGACAGUACCUGCAGAAGAAGCCCCGGCUAACUACGUGCCAGCAGCCGCGGUAAUACGUAGGGGGCAAGCGUUAUCCGGAUUCAUUGGGCGUAAAGAGCGCGUAGGCGGAUUGUUAAGUCAGAUGUGAAAACUGGGGGCUCAACCCGCAGCCUGCAUCUGAAACUGGCAGUCUUGAGUCUGGUAGAGGAGUGUGGAAUUCCCAGUGUAGCGGUGAAAUGCGCAGAUAUUGGGAGGAACACCAGUGGCGAAGGCGGCACUCUGGGCCACGACUGACGCUGAGGCGCGAAAGCUAGGGGAGCAAACA